CGUGGGUCUGUUAGUCUGCAGAUCUACUUGUUCUGAAUGUGCUCAUAUAUUGUAAUUUAGGUCAGGGUGGUCCCCCUUGUCUGCCUAGUGUCUGUUUAGCAUCCAAUGAACAUCCUACAUGCAGUUAUGCAGAGGAAAGUAAUUCAGAAUACAGCUGUAUGAGUACUGGCAAUGAAGAGGUCCCAGCUGCAAGCACUAGUCAUGAAACGGCAUUAACAAUAGGUGCCAGCAAAAGAAUUUAUGAGGUAGAAAAAGAGAGGUUGCUAGUGGAAAAAGAGAGGCUGGCAGUGGAGAGAGAACGUCUUAAGUUGGAGAGGGAAAGAUUAGAAAUUGACAAAAAGAAGGAUAUUUUAUUUGAAAAAAUGAAGGAAUAUUAUGAGGCAAAGUUGGAGAUGAAGAAGAAGUUUUUUCAAGAACUUUAGGACUCCUGCCCAUAGUACCCAUAUUACAUGUACAUGUACAGUGUUUACAUUGUAGUAUUAGUACCCAUGGUAUGUUACAAAAAUGUAAUAAAUAUAAUAUCCUUAGUUACAAAUAACUUUAUAUUUCCUUUCUUAUUUGAAAAGCUUGAAGUACAUUAGCAUUAGAAAUUAAAAAGGGUGUUAUCUGAGGCCAUUCAUCUUAUAAAACAUUCUUUAGUAGGAUUGACCAAUGGUAAAUAUUUCAUUCUUAUAUCUAAUAAGCUGUAUAAGUCAAAAAGUGAUAUUUGUCUUCAACAUCAUAAAUAUUUUACAUUGUUUCAAGGCCAAUUUAGUGACACCAUUGAAUACUUCAACACCAGUAGCCUUAAGAAGUUUAUA